UGGGGAAUAUUGCACAAUGGGCGCAAGCCUGAUGCAGCCAUGCCGCGUGUAUGAAGAAGGCCUUCGGGUUGUAAAGUACUUUCAGCGAGGAGGAAGGUGCUGAGGUUAAUAACCUCAGCAAUUGACGUUACUCGCAGAAGAAGCACCGGCUAACUCCGUG
rnacentral:rRNA from 1 species